rnacentral:rRNA from 1 species
UGGGGAAUAUUGCACAAUGGGCGCAAGCCUGAUGCAGCCAUGCCGCGUGUAUGAAGAAGGCCUUCGGGUUGUAAAGUACUUUCAGUCGGGAGGAAGGUGUCAAGGUUAAUAACCUUGGCAAUUGACGUUACCGACAGAAGAAGCACCGGCUAACUCCGUGCCAGCAGCCGCGGUAAUACGGAGGGUGCAAGCGUUAAUCGGAAUUACUGGGCGUAAAGCGCACGCAGGCGGUCUGUCAAGUCGGAUGUGAAAUCCCCGGGCUCAACCUGGGAACUGCAUCUGAUACUGGCAAGCUUGAGUCUCGUAGAGGGGGGUAGAAUUCCAGGUGUAGCGGUGAACUGCGUAGAGAUCUGGAGGAAUACCGGUGGCGAAGGCGGCCCCCUGGACGAAGACUGACGCUCAGGUGCGAAAGCGUGGGGAGCAAACAGG